rnacentral:misc_RNA from 1 species
GAUGAAGAACGUAGUGAAAUGCGAUAAGUAGUGUGAAUUGCAGAAUUCAGUGAAUCAUCGAAUCUUUGAACGCACAUUGCGCCCUUUGGUAUUCCAAAGGGCAUGCCUGUUCGAGCGUCAUUUGUACCCUCAAGCUUUGCUUGGUGUUGGGCGUCUUGUCUCUAGCUUUGCUGGAGACUCGCCUUAAAGUAAUUGGCAGCCGGCCUACUGGUUUCGGAGCGCAGCACAAGUCGCACUCUCUAUCAGCAAAGGUCUAGCAUCCAUUAAGCCUUUUUUUCAACUUUUGACCUCGGAUCAGGUAGGGAUACCCGCUGAACUUAAGCAUAUUAAUAAGCGGAGGA